rnacentral:rRNA from 1 species
AUCGAACGCUGGCGGCAUGCCUAACACAUGCAAGUCGAACGAAACAUUCGGGCUUAGUGGCGCAUGGGUGCGUAACGCGUGGGAUACUGCCCAUAAGUUUGGAAUAACUCCCCGAAAGGGGUGCUAAAACCGGAUAAUAUCCCCCGUCCAAAGAUUUGUCGCAUUUGGAUGGGCCCGCGAUGGCUUGGCUAGUUGGUAGGGUAAAAGCCUCUCACGGCGACGAUGCAUAACUGGGCUGAGAGGAGGAGCAGCCACACUGGGACUGAGACACGGCCCAGAAUCCUGCGGGAUGGGGCAGUGGGUAAUAUUGGACUAUGGGGUAAAGCCUGAUCCAGCACUGCCUCGUGAGUGAUGAAGGCCUUAGGGUUGUAAAGCACGUUUAUCCGGGAUUAUAAUGACAGUACCGGGAGAAUAAGCACCGGCUAACUCCGUG